AUGCUACUGGUCGUUUACAGCUUACCCACCAGCCUGUGCCCCCACCGUGGAAAGUCAACACUAGGACAGAAGGCUUUAUCCACCUGCGUGUGGUCUGAGAUGGAAAACGCAGUUCACCUCACGGAGUUUGGAACUGCUUGCUACAGGGGAGUUAUCAUCUCUGUUUUACAGAUGAAACUUUUGGGAGAGCAAGAGGAGCCUUAUGUUUUAUUUGAUUAAGUGGAGGGAAGACUGGAGAGAUGGAAAAAAAUUUUAGCCAGUCAACCUAUUUUAUGUCAAAUAAACAAAGCCUUGGUGUCA
rnacentral:lncRNA from 1 species